AACCCCUGCACAUAUUCUUCAAAUCCAUACAAGCUGAUCGAUCUCUCUCAAUCAAAUAAAGAUCUUCAGAAAAGUUAUUUUUUCCUUAUAAAUUCGAUUUUAAUGAGUUUUGUAUCAAAGACUAGGGUAAAAUAUACAUAUAUAUGUAUGUAUGUAUGUACAUAUAUAUACUAUACAUAUGUAAGUAUGUAGUUGCUCGAAGAAAUCCAUAAAAACUCGUUAUAUUCGGCAAGUGAAGCAAAUGUUUUGGUUCCAACCAACUCAGUGAGUCUUUACUUACAAAUAGUAUGACAUGUUGCCCUUCCAUUAUCUAAACGAACAUCUACUUAAAUACAGCAAGUAUGUUUUCAUGAAAGCAGUCUUUUUAAUUCAGCUGCGAUAAUUACUUAAACUGUUUUAUAAGCAAACAGUUACAAUUAACAAGUACUAUCACAUGGGCGCACGUCUGGUACAUAAAUAUGUAUGUAUAUAAAAGCAAAUACGCCAGACAGAGAAGUAUCUAGUUGAAAUCGAGACAAUUCGGAACACAUCAUAUUUGGAUUAAAACGUGUUAUAACAAGUGCUCCUGGCUACUGCGAUCCUAGUGCUUAGUUAUGGCGCAUUCUAUGUUUUCGGUUAAUGGCGAUUUGUGAGCGGGGCAGUGGUCUGAUUACGCCCAUUUAUGAACCUUUUUUUGUACAAAGCUUGCACGGACGGACAGACAGACAGUCAACCGGAUUUCAAGUUUUCUUGUCAACCUGAUCAUUUAUAUAUAUAUAAUUCUAUAUCUAUCUCGAUUAGUUUUAGGUGAAACGUACAAUCGUUAGGUGAACAAAGCUAUAAUACCCUGUAGCAACAUGUUGCAAGAGUACAAAAAGUUCUCCAG